rnacentral:rRNA from 1 species
CCUACGGGAGGCAGCAGUAGGGAAUUUUGCGCAAUGGGGGAAACCCUGACGCAGCAACGCCGCGUGAUCGAUGAAGCUCUUCGGGGUGUAAAGAUCUGUCAGUGGGGACGAAACCUGACGGUACCCACAGAGGAAGCACCGGCUAACUCCGUGCCAGCAGCCGCGGUAAUACGGGGGGUGCAAGCGUUGUCCGGAAUCAUUGGGCGAAAAGAGUUCGUAGGUGGCACGUCAGGUCUGAUGUUAAAGGCGGAAGCUUAACUUCCGUAGGGCACUGGAUACUGGCGUGCUUGAAUGCGGUAGAGGUAGAGGGAAUUCCUGGUGUAGCGGUGAAAUGCGUAGAUAUCAAGAGGAACAUUGAUGGCGUAAGCGCUUUACUAGGCCGUAAUUGACACUGAGGAACGAAAGCCGGGGUAGCAAAUGGGAUUAGAUACCCCGGUAGUC